GAUCCUGGCUCAGGAUGAACGCUAGCUACAGGCUUAACACAUGCAAGUCGAGGGGCAGCAUGGUCUUAGCUUGCUAAGGCCGAUGGCGACCGGCGCACGGGUGAGUAACACGUAUCCAACCUGCCGUCUACUCUUGGACAGCCUUCUGAAAGGAAGAUUAAUACAAGAUGGCAUCAUGAGUUCACAUGUUCACAUGAUUAAAGGUAUUCCGGUAGACGAUGGGGUAGUCG
rnacentral:rRNA from 1 species